rnacentral:rRNA from 1 species
AGGGCACCACCAGGAGUGGAGCCUGCGGCUUAAUUUGACUCAACACGGGGAAACUCACCCGGCCCGGACACCGUAAGGAUUGACAGAUUGAGAGCUCUUUCUUGAUUCGGUGGUUGGUGGUGCAUGGCCGUUCUUAGUUGGUGGAGCGAUUUGUCUGGUUUAUUCCGAUAACGAACGAGACUCUGGCCUACUAAAUAGAGACAGGAUUAUUACUGUCCUGGAUUCUUCUUAGAGGGACAAGUGGUUUUCAGCCACACGAAAUUGAGCAAUAACAGGUCUGUGAUGCCCUUAGAUGUCCGGGGCUGCACGCGCGCUACACUGAAGGAAUCAGCGUGCUAAAACCAUUGUCGAAAGGCAUUGGUAAACCCCUCAAAAUCCUACGUGAUUGGGAUCGGGAAUUGCAAUUAUUUCCCUUGAACGAGGAAUUCCCAGUAAGUGUGGGUCAUAAGCUCGCGUUGAUUACGUCCCUGCCCUUUGUACACACCGCCCGUCGCUGCCCGGGACUGAGCCGUUUCGAGA